GGUUAAGUCCCGCAACGAGCGCAACCCUUGUUUCCUGUUGCCAUCACGUAAAGGUGGGCACUCUGGAGAGACUGCCGGUGACAAACCGGAGGAAGGUGGGGAUGACGUCAAGUCAGCAUGGCCUUUAUGUCCAGGGCUACACACGUGCUACAAUGGCCGAUACAAACCGUCGCAAACUCGCAAGGGUGAGCUAAUCGGAGAAAGUCGGUCUCAGUUCGGAUUGUCGGCUGCAACUCGCCGGCAUGAAGUUGGAAUCGCUAGUAAUCGCGGAUCAGCAUGCCGCGGUGAAUACGUUCCCGGGCCUUGUACACACCGCCCGUCACAUCACGAAAGCUGGCUGUACUAGAAAUCGCUCCGCUAACCCGCAAGGGAGGCAGGCGCUUAAGGUAUGGUCAGUGAUUGGGGUG
rnacentral:rRNA from 1 species